rnacentral:rRNA from 1 species
AUUGAACGCUGGCGGCAGGCCUAACACAUGCAAGUCGAGCGGAUGAAGCGAGCUUGCUCGUGGAUUCAGCGGCGGCCGGGUGGGUAAUGCCUAGGAGUCUGCAUGGUCGUGGGGGAUCACGUCCGGAUACGGGAGCUAAUCCUGCAUACGUACUGAGGGCGCAAGUGGGGGAUCUUCGGACCUCUCGCUUUCAGAUGAGCCUAGGUGGAAAUAGCUUGGUGGUGGGGUAACGGCCUACCAAGGCGACGCUGCGUAACUGGUCUUAAGGGAUGACCAGUCACACGGGAAGUGAGACAGAGUCCAGACACCUACAGUGAGCAGCAGUGGGGAAUAUUGGACGAGGGGCGAAAGCCUAAUCCAGCCAAGCCGCGUGUGGGAAGAAGGUCUUCUGAUGGGAAAGCGCUUUAGGUUGGAGGGAAGGACAGUAAGUUAAGACCUGGCUGUUUUGACGGUACCAACAGAAGAAGCACCGGCUAACUUCGUG